GAUGAACGCUAGCGGGAGGCUUAACACAUGCAAGUCGAGGGGUAAAUGGCAGCAAUGCUAUGAGACCGGCGAACGGGUGCGUAACGCGUAUGCAACUUACCUUAUGCAGGGGGAUAGCCCGUGGAAACGCGGAUUAAUAUCCCAUAGAUCAGUGGUAUCGCAUGGUACAGCUGGUAAAGCUCAGGUGGCAUAAGAUGGGCAUGCGUCUGAUUAGCUGGUUGGUAGGGUAACGGCCUACCAAGGCGACGAUCAGUAGGGGUUCUGAGAGGAUUAACCCCCACACUGGUACUGAGACACGGACCAGACUCCUACGGGAGGCAGCAGUGAGGAAUAUUGGUCAAUGGGCGGAAGCCUGAACCAGCCAUCCCGCGUGAAGGAAGAAGGCCUUAUGGGUUGUAAACUUCUUUUCUGUUUGAAGAAUAAGCUUGUCGAGACAAGUGAUGCCGGUAGGACAGGAAUAAGCAUCGGCUAACUCCGUG
rnacentral:rRNA from 1 species